AUUGAAAGUACUAGUUAGAUGAAG
rnacentral:miRNA from 1 species